UACGUAGGGUGCGAGCGUUAAUCGGAAUUACUGGGCGUAAAGCGUGCGCAGGCGGUUCGUUAAGUCAGAUGUGAAAGCCCCGGGCUCAACCUGGGAACUGCAUUUGAAACUGGCGGGCUUGAGUAUGGCAGAGGGGGGUGGAAUUCCGCGUGUAGCAGUGAAAUGCGUAGAGAUGUGGAGGAACACCGAUGGCGAAGGCGGCUCACUGGCUCAUAUCUGACGCUCAGGCGCGACAGCGUGGGGAUCAAACAGG
rnacentral:rRNA from 1 species